rnacentral:rRNA from 1 species
UACGGAGGGUGCAAGCGUUGUUCGGAAUCACUGGGCGUAAAGGGCGUGUAGGCGGUCCGCUAAGUCUGAUGUGAAAGCCCGGGGCUCACCCCCGGAAGGGCAUUGGAAACUGGCGAACUCGAGUCCCGGAGAGGAGGGUGGAAUUCCCGGUGUAGCGGUGAAAUGCGUAGAUAUUGGGAGGAACACCAGUGGCGAAGGCGGCUCACUGGACCGGUACUGACGCUGAUGCGCGAAAGCGUGGGGAGCAAACGGG